ACGGGAGCAACGUUUAAUUUAUUAAAUAUCUUUCUACAUUAUCUAUAACUUAUAAUUUAAUUAAUACACGGUAUAUACAAAUUACAAAGCCUAUUUAGAAUAUUACAUUGGAUUUCCAUCUGUGGAAGUUCUUUGACUGAAACUGUCUAUAAACGUUUGAUAGUUUGAAGUCAGCAAAUCUGUCCCAAGAACCACUUGCUUCAAUGUGAACGAGGUGUCGAGCGUUGCUGGAUCU